rnacentral:lncRNA from 1 species
AGGCAGAGCCAUUUGAGGUAGUCUUUAUUAAAGGAAAAUGUCUAAGCCUGUGUGAGUGGACACAGGACAGGCAGUUGAGUAGGCCAACGCUGUGGGGCUCUCGUAUAUUCUCUGCACCAGGCCCACUCGGUUCCCGAGGCCUCUGCCGUCCUCUGGGAUGUGACUGUGAAGAGUGACAGAUUCACCAGAUUUUUUCCUUCCUUGCCCGUCACUACACUGGAGCCAAGCCACAGGUAACUCCCAGUUUUUUACUGAACCCCAGGUAGAGAUGUCUGUGUUGUGGGAGAGCAGAAACAUGUGUUCUCUGAAGCCAUCCUUUGCUGGCGAAAGGCCACGUGGUUGGGGAAGUAAGGCUGAAUUUGAAGUAAGGAUGCAAGGAAACGAUGGUGCCAGUACUGUCCAACUAGCCUGGGGAUACAAGGAGGGAGAGGAAGUCUGUUGUCACCGAGCUUUCCCUCCUGGGUAGCCAGGGUUAAGAUGUACCAACAAAACUGAGAUCGAAGUGUAUAAACCAACAAAUGUAAAAGAUUUCUAACAAUAAAUUGUUAUUUAGCCAUG